rnacentral:pre_miRNA from 1 species
GACCAAUAGCAUGGUGACACAUGGUAGUCUCACAUUUUGACACAUGGCACUUUUAAAAAUUUUUAUUAUUUCAAGUUUCAAAAUGUUAGCCUACCACGUGUCACCAUGCUAUUGGUUG